rnacentral:rRNA from 1 species
UACGUAGGGGGCUAGCGUUGUCCGGAUUUAUUGGGCGUAAAGAGCGUGUAGGCGGCCAAGUAGGUCCGGUGUGAAAACUCGAGGCUUAACCUCGAGAUGUCAUCGGAAACCAUUUGGCUAGAGUCCGGAAGAGGAAAGUGGAAUUCCUGGUGUAGCGGUGAAAUGCGCAGAUAUCAGGAGGAACACCGGUGGCGAAGGCGCACAUCUGGCCCGAUACUGACGCUGAGGCGCGAAAGCUAGGGGAGCAAACGGG